CUCGUAGGCGGUUCGUCGCGUCCGGUGUGAAAGUCCAUCGCUUAACGGUGGAUCCGCGCCGGGUACGGGCGGGCUUGAGUGCGGUAGGGGAGACUGGAAUUCCCGGUGUAACGGUGGAAUGUGUAGAUAUCGGGAAGAACACCAAUGGCGAAGGCAGGUCUCUGGGCCGUUACUGACGCUGAGGCUCGAAAGCGUGGGGAGCAAACA
rnacentral:rRNA from 1 species